rnacentral:rRNA from 1 species
UACGGGGGGUGCGAGCGUUGUCCGGAAUCACUGGGCGUAAAGGGCGCGUAGGUGGCGUCGUAAGUCUGUGGUGAAAAGCCCGGAGCUCAACUCCGGGUCUGCCGCGGAUACUGCGAGGCUUGAGUGCUGUAGAGGGGGGUAGAAUGCCGGGUGUAGCGGUGGAAUGCGUAGAGAUCCGGCAGAAGACCGGUGGCGAAGGCGGCCCCCUGGGCAGUAACUGACACUGAGGCGCGACAGCGUGGGGAGCAAACAGGG